rnacentral:rRNA from 1 species
GACGAACGCUGGCGGCGUGCCUAAUACAUGCAAGUCGAACGCACUCUCGUUUAGAUUGAAGGAGCUUGCUCCUGAUUGAUAAACAUUUGAGUGAGUGGCGGACGGGUGAGUAACACGUGGGUAACCUGCCCUAAAGUGGGGGAUAACAUUUGGAAACAGAUGCUAAUACCGCAUAAAACCCAACACCGCAUGGUGUAGGGUUGAAAGAUGGUUUCGGCUAUCACUUUAGGAUGGACCCGCGGUGCAUUAGUUAGUUGGUGAGGUAAAGGCUCACCAAGACCGUGAUGCAUAGCCGACCUGAGAGGGUAAUUGGCCACACUGGGACUGAGACACGGCCCAGACUCCCUACGGGAGGCAGCAGUAGGGAAUCUCCCACAAUGGACGAAAGUCUGAUGGAGCAACGCCGCGUGAGUGAAGAAGGUUUUCGGAUCGUAAAACUCUGUUGUUGGAGAAGAAUGUAUCUGAUAGUAACUGAUCAGGUAGUGACGGUAUCCAACCAGAAAGCCAA